GUUUGCCACACUGAGUUGUGACAUCUUCUAUAGCAAGUAUAUUCUGAGUUGGAUUGCCUUAGCAGGGUUAGGGGAUUUGUGGUAGAAAAUCACUGUGCCCAGAUUGUGAGAUUUUGAACACCCAGGCUAAGGGGUCUGAAUUUCAUGUUGUCAGCAUCAGGGAGCCACUGAAAGAAUCUCAAGGAUGGUAUGAUGAACUUAGAGCAAGUUGAGCCAUAUUAAUUUGUUCAUUUUUUUUAAGAUCAGAAGCAUCCAAGUAAAUACUUUUAUAAGAUUGAAUUUAGUAUAAAAGACAGGAUAAAGAGAAAGAAUCAGACUAUAAUUGGUUUGAUUUGGUUUCCCAUGUACCUCUUGCUUUAUCAACAAAUUUGCCAAACUAUUCCCUAUACCCAUUCCACUUCUUAAGCAAACAGGUGAAAAAAUAUGAAAAAGAAACAAAAAGAUGAGAAAGAAUAAAAGGAAAUAAGGUAGGAAUUUAGGAAUUCAGGAAAAAUCACAGAGCAUCUUAGAAAUCUUUAAGAGAAUUAUAAAUACAAAAUACAUGAAAUUUGUCUCUUUUAUGUAAAUUUUUAAAAGUAAAAAGUAAGAAAAAUUAUAUCUUAGAAAGCUUGUGAGUAAAUUCAUAUUGACACUAUAUGCCAUAGUAAGUAAAGCAAUUCUGAGAAAGUUGUACAUGGGUCUUUCUACAAUUAACAAAGUACACUUUAACCCAUAAUUUCUUUCCGUGCCUCACCAAUUAGUUAUUAUUUAAAUUUUUAAAGAAAAUUAUUUCAUGUUUCCAAGCUUCAAAAAACUCUAACUUUUUGUAACUCUUGAUCUCUUACUUUGAGUUAUAAUUUAAGGAUAUCUGCUUGCUUGUGUUUGAUCUGACAGAAGAGUUGUAUUUUCUGCUAAACUUCAGAUGAUGCAACUGAAAUGCCAAACAGAUGGCUUCACAAAAUGUAAGCCCAAUGUCUUGCUGUUCUGUGGUCUUCGCAGCUGGGAAGUACCCUGUGUAUUUGAAUGUGUUUACAAAUGGAAUAUGUCUACUACACUGGAACUUCAUGAGCUGAAAAGCAAAAUCGCCCAAUUGCACAAUUGCAUGCAUAAUUUAUCAGACCAAUUUCAUUCUAUGGAGACAGUUGUGAAUUCUCUGCUAUAUACUGCCAGUUCCCAGGUUUGUAUUAUUGUUCUUUGCCUUACUGCUUGCUGAAAUGAAUUCUAAAACCAUGACUGCCUAUUCUGUGACAUUGAAUCCAAUGGCAAAAAUACUAAUUACCAUGAACAGUUGCAUGAUAUGGCUGUCCAUUCACAUGUAGCAGCUUGCUCCGGCCAGCCUUUUUCCUUGCUCUUUCCAUUUGCCAAACAUUUGUCCCAUUCCAAUCAGAUUGUACAAAAUUAAUUAGAAAUGGACAAACAAUAUGUAUAUUAUAUAGAAAGCUAUCCAGUAAUUGUUUUCCCAUUUAAAAUUGUUUACUGGCAAAAACUUAUAUAAAAUAUUUUGGGAAUGAUCAACAAAAUCUGAUAGUGGAUUUAGAAUUGGAUGCCAUUAAAAAUUAUUACUUUCAAAUAUGGCAUUAUUAUUUGGGGUGUGUGUUUUCUCAUGUUUGUUAAGGUACACAUGGGAACUACUUAAAGAUGAAAUGUAAUAAUAAGUAUAAUUUAUUCAAAAUGUUUCAACAGAUAGAGAAUGGAGUCACAAAGCUAAAAACAAAGUUUUCAGAUUUCCAAACAUAAUUGCUAUUUGCUUUAACUCAAGUUGGCAUUUAUUAUUCCAUUUAUAAAAUAAGCAUUAUUAAGUAAGGGUUUCCAAGUGCUGAUUCUGUGCCAGAUACUAAGUGUUUCAUUUGCAUUAUCUCAUUUAAUUAUCCAAUAAACUUCUUUGUUGAGUAACA
ensembl:lncRNA